rnacentral:rRNA from 1 species
UACGAAGGGGGCUAGCGUUGCUCGGAAUCACUGGGCGUAAAGCGCACGUAGGCGGCUUGUUAAGUCAGGGGUGAAAUCCUGGAGCUCAACUCCAGAACUGCCUUUGAUACUGGCGAGCUUGAGUCCGGGAGAGGUGAGUGGAACUGCGAGUGUAGAGGUGAAAUUCGUAGAUAUUCGCAAGAACACCAGUGGCGAAGGCGGCUCACUGGCCUGGUACUGACGCUGAGGUGCGAAAGCGUGGGGAGCAAACAGG